AAAUGAAUUGACGGGGACCCGCACAAGCGGUGGAGCAUGUGGUUUAAUUCGAAGCAACGCGAAGAACCUUACCAAGGCUUGACAUCCUCCUGACAGGCUCUUAACCGAGCCCUUCCUUCGGGACAGGAGAGACAGGUGGUGCAUGGUUGUCGUCAGCUCGUGUCGUGAGAUGUUGGGUUAAGUCCCGCAACGAGCGCAACCCUUAUCUUUAGUAACCAGCGGGUGAUGCCGGGGACUCUAGAGAGACUGCCAGGGUGAACCUGGAGGAAGGUGGGGAUGACGUCAAAUCAUCAUGCCCCUUAUGUCUUGGGCUACACACGUGCUACAAUGGCUGCGACAGAGGGAAGCGAAGGGGUGACCUGGAGCGAAACCCAAAAAAGCAGUCCCAGUUCGGAUUGUAGUCUGCAACUCGACUACAUGAAGUCGGAAUCGCUAGUAAUCGCGAAUCAGCAUGUCGCGGUGAAUACGUUCCCGGGUCUUGUACACACCGCCCGU
rnacentral:rRNA from 1 species